AAUUUUUAUUGCAGAAUCUGAAAAAGCAAUUCUUGAAACAUUCUUUUACGCAAUGCUGAAAUGCCUUUAAUCACUUCGCAGUCGAGACCAAAAUCUCAUAAGUGAGCCCAAAAUGUCAGUAAAUUUUUGAAUGACCAAAAUUUGUGCAAAUGUGUAUACUAUGGUAUUUAAGGUCGCUGAUUACGAUUCCAAAGUCAGAUUUUAGAAAUUCAAAAUGGCGGAGCCAAUGUAAACGAUUUUUCAAAAAAUGGCAAAAAUUAUUUAAAAAUACUUAAAAAUUGUUACUUGGGGGUUUUUGGGGUCGCUGAUUACGAACCUAAAGUUAGAUUUCAAAAAUUCAAAAUGGCCGAGCCAAUAUGGCGGACAAUUUUCUAAAAAUUUAGAAAUUAAUUAAUAUUACUUAAAAUCUUUUAUCGAGACUAACUAUAUUCGCCAUAUAAAGAUCGCUGUAUACAAAGCAAUUAACAGUCCUGUUAAUCGAAUAUUACAAUGACAGUACUGUGAAGGUAAGAUAUAAAUAACAGGACAAGCAGGAAUGGAAAUGGGAAAAAACAAUUGCCAACUAAUCGCGUAAAACAAAGAAAUGGCAUUAGCUGAAGGAAAAAGAAACGAAAUAAAUGGCAGAGUCACCACUUAAACAGCGCAAAGAAUAAAACAAUGGACAAUCGCUUUAAACAUAGAUGACAGUGACAGUACUUUGGAGGCAAGACCCAAAUAACAGGGCAAGCCGGAAUGGAGAUGAGAAAAAACAAUUGCCAACUAAUCGCGUAAAACAGAGCACUGAUGGUCUCUGAAGGAAAAGAAAACGAAAUAAAACGACAGUCAUCACUUAAAAAGUGCUGAUAAUAAAACAAUUGACAAACACGUUAAGCGAAUAUGACAUAAAUAAGAAUAAACAAAAUGAAUGACAAAACAUUGUGACUAACAAGUUUCAGACAAAUUUGGUCAAUUGUCAACAUAUUUGAUCACCAUAUUGGAUACGCCAUUUGUCAUUUUUCCGAUCUGACACCAAAUUUGGAAUCAGCGACCCCAAAAACCCCCGAGUAACGAGUUUCAAGCGAAUAUGGUCAAUUUUCAAAAUUUUUGGUCGCCAUAUUGGAUCGUUCGAUUUCCAAGGGAAAAAAAUUCACUUGUAGCCGUAAAGUAGACUUAUUGUCACCACAGAACGGGAAAUCGCACCAUGGAAAUAACUUUUUACAAUCUUUCGACUGUCAGUAGCGGGCAAAAAUUUGCAGAGGAAAAAUUUAAUUUUUUUUAACAAUCCUUGACACCUUUCUCUCUUCAAAAAAAAAAUAAAAAAAAAUUUAUUAAAAUCCUUUUCUCUCUUUCUGCCAUUCUUGGCACUAUUAUAAGUCAACUGAUUAGUCAAGAACACACGUUUGAGGUCCCCACGUUGGGCGCCAUUUAUAACGAAUAAUAAUUUUACAAAGCAAAAAUUAAAACUGUUAAAUGAAAUAAACGUAUUUAAAUAAUAAUUUGAACUCCCGGAACUUGUAUUAAGGACGCCAGGUGAAAAACCAAAUUUACUCAAAAGCUACGUUAGACAAUUUAAUUUUUUACCGUCCCAGGACUUUCGAAACAUUACGGUUUUCUUAAAAUUCUGCCGAACUGCUCAGCCAUUUUUGGAGAGUUGCUGGGAACCAAACGUGAGUCCUUACUUAGGCGAAUGACGAGGGAGAGAGAGAGAGACAGGGAGAGAAAAGGUCCAUAAAUGUCAAAUGAAAUCAAUUACACCAAUUUUUCUCUUUUAAUACCAAAUAACAUAAAUUUAUUAAUGUACCAAAAAUGUGUUUCUAUUUACAAUGCCUGACUUUGUCAGGAAAUAUAGGCCUUCGACUAGCUUGACUCGACAUAAUACAAAAAUAAAUAAAAUUAAAUUAAUAUGUUUAGGAAAUUUGAAAUAAGCGAAUAAGAAAUUAUAUCGUUGAGAGACGGUCAAGCCAGAAGGGCAAACAUGGUGGCGUAUGAAUUUCGCCUCACGUUGAUAUGAUAAUAAAAAAAGAGUAAAUUAAAUCAAAGAAAAUUACCGGCACACUGAGAAAUCUGUACUUUGUGCCGUGUAAUUCCGCACAAAAGAAUUUAUUACAAUUUUGACAAAGAUACCUUUAAUUUUGGACCUCUUAUCAAAUCAAGAUAAUCUAGGCGUCAGCGUGGCGACUACAGACCGCACCGGACACAAUGGCUUCCAAAAUUGAUAAGUUACAAUCUUUCUGCUCCGGCAGAAAAUCCAAUCUAGCCAAAAUAUAGGCUUCAAAAUAUAGGCAAAAUACUUCAAAAUUUAGUGCUUCUUGCACACAAAACCAAAGAUUGAAUCUUUAAUAAAGAAAAAUGGCCACUGCCAAAUUUCUACAAAAAUACAACUAGACUUUCGCAAGUCACGACCAAGAAGAACGAUUCUUCACGGGUUUCCAAUGUCCAUUCGAUUACCUUGCCCCUUAAAUCGGCGCAAAGGCGACAAAAUAGUUCACUACGCUGACCUCGUGACAUAUCCCCCUUAUUUGGAAACGUUAGCGGCCUUCUAAUUGGCCGAACGAAUGCUGAGCUUAAAUGGACGUCUUCUUCGGCAGUCGUGAGUAUCUCGGAGUGCGGGAUUCUCAUCCGCACCCCACCCUCGAUGUACGGUCCUUUGUCGCACUCACGUCUGCCAUCCCACGUAGGAAACUUUGUAGCUUGAUCUCCUGACCCCUCAGGAGUGUUCCUUUCUUUGUCCUUUGACUUCUCUCUCUCUCAGCCUUACUCAGGCCCGUAUCACCAAUUUUCAUGAAAAAUGAUAUAAAAAAAAUAACUUAACCAUGCAACUAUUUAAAUUAUUUAUGCCCCUUUAGGAUUUGACUGUAUCUCCACUAAUGGAAUAACAAAGUUAAAAUAAAAUACCUCAGAACGGAAAUUAUAUUUUAUUCUUAAUCUUUAAAUUAGGUGUUCUUGGUCGAUCGUUGCAAAAAUUAUAAAGGUUUCUUCGAAAGAGAGAAAAUCUGUUAACAAAACAUGCCGUCUAAAGACUGCAACGUUACAAUAUAUUCUUUUAAAAAUAAUGGAUUUCCGUACUUUGUGCGACAAUAGCGACCUCUAGAAAUUGUUCAAAAAAUCUGAAAAUUUAGGAAAUUUUUUUUUACCGUAUAAAAGAUAUUAAGGGGGUAUAAUUUUUUUUGAACUUCUCUAAUGAAACCUCGCUACAGGUUUGAUCCUCAAUUAUUUGCUAUGUUGAAGAAAAAGAGUGAUGCCCUGAAAGCAGAAGAAAAAAGAAGAGUAUUAGUUAUUGAUGAGAUGCAGAUUAGCAAGUCAGUGUCCUUCGAUAGUGAGAACCUCUCUGUCCUAGGCUUCAUUGAUUUAAUUGAACACACACCGGAAAAUCAAAAAAAGGAACAAGCUGAUCACUCUCUGGUAUUUUUGUUCCAACCUUUUAGAGGAAAAUGGAUACAAAAUGUGGCAACAUUCCUUAGCAAAGGUGCCGCAAAUGGACAAGUCCUAAGUCGUCUUGUUACUGAGUGUAUUAUUCUAUUGGAAAAUCACGGAUUUUAUGUGGAUGUUGUAACAACAGAUGGUGCUCAAUGGAACCGUGGAAUGUGGAAACAUUUCGGUUUAAAAGAUCUUGAAGCCAGUUGCAGACACGUUUGCACAGUUGACGAAAUUGACAAAGUUGACAAUUGUCGUUUGUAGAUUUGUUCAGAUUUCUCACAUUUUUUGAAAAAUUUUCGCAAUUUUAUGACGGCUAAAGACAAAAUAUUGACUCCUGAUGGAUGGUUCAAAAAACAAAACUUUAAAAGUAUUAUAAAGUGCAACGGUGGAGCAAAAUACUUAGGUCUUAAAAUUGCGCACAAAAUUACAGAGGAUCAUAUUGAUCCUAAGUUUUUUCAAAAAAUGCAUGUGCAUAAGGCACAAGAAGUAAGUUCAACUAUAAAAAUUAUCACUCGCGUUAACAAACUUAUCGAAGCAAUGACUUCCAGAUGUUCGAUAAAUGCACUGACACCAGAAAGUAACUCAUAUGAGGCAAUAACAGAAUUCGUGAACUAUUUAAGGAUUUGGAAAAAAAAUAAUUAUGAAGCAAACAAUUCUCUUUUUAUGUCUAAUAACACAUACGUUGGGUUUAAAGUAACCUUAAAAACUACUGUAGAAGUUAUGAAAUUUCUCAUUGAAAAUGUAAAUUUUCUUUUUUAAUUACCGCUCGACUUAAUCAGAAUGCUUUAGAGGGGAUGUUUGGAUUGAUCAGAGGUUGCUGCGGUUCUCAUGACAAGCCAGAUCCCCUUCUUUUUAUUCAGAUUUAUAGUCUGUUAAGUUUUUAUUCCUUAGUCAAGCCUCCAAAGGGAUCAAAUGUUAAUAGUAUGGAAAUUUUUGAAACUUUACUAUCUGCGAAGGAUUCAAAAAAUGAGAGUAAAGAAGAAUGGAAACAAGUCCUUGACCAGAUAAUAGAAAGGGGUGAAAACAACGAAAAAAAUUAUGGCGCGCAACAUGCUCACGAUUACAACGUUUUCGGUGUAAACGACAUCGUUUUGGCAUACUUUACUGGUUUCGUCGCAAGAAAAAUUGAAAAAUGGACAUCUUGUAGUCCAUGCUUUUUGUCUGCUACUAAACCAAGUGGAAACUUGCCUAGGGAUGAAAUGAUCCGUGGCUUGAGCAGAGGGUAUUUGAUUUAUCCUUCAAAUGAAUUGUUCGAUCUUUUAUUCGCAUUGGAAAGGGCUAUCCUCCAAACUGUAGAAGAGGAGCAGCUUAACUUUUAUACGUUCCAACAUAUUGUAUACAAUAUACUUGCUGAGCCUAUAACUUUUGUGGGUUGUUACGAACAAAAAGAAGCCCUAACUAAAAUAGUUAUAAAUUAUUACUGUAUCACACGAACGCAAAUAAUAUGCCAGAAGCAUAACGCUGUUUAUGAUAAUGCGUAAAAAGAAGAAAAGAAAUAUCGGAAAUUAUCGAAAUUAGUAGGUAGCUCAAGGAGUGAAACUGUAAAAAGCUAUACUAAUGAAAAAAGAACUAUCAAAACUGUAAAUGGACAAAAAAGGAAGUGUGAAUUGACUCAUGGUUUUAAUACUGCGUUAAAAAACGUUAGGCAAUAUUAGCGGCUGUGAAACCGAAGCAAGUAUUAGUGUUAAUUUCGAAAAACCAAAAAGCAAACUCAGUGUAAUUACUGAAAGGAACAAAAAAAGCAUUAAAAACAUUGGAGAAAGAGGAAUUUAUAAAAAACCAAAAACAACCAAAAAAUGUACAAGUUACAAAAAACGGAAUAAAAGUAUUAUCUAAUACAAUCUUACCGGAAAAUUUUUUAGCAAUUAAAAAGCAGAAACAAGAUAAAGUGAUUGUUGUUAAAGAAGCGAAGAGAGUAUUAUUACCGUAUUUUUUUACAAUAAAUAUGUUAAAAACGAAGUAUUUUUUAGAUAUAUAUUUAUAUGUAGAAUAUUUUUUCGUCUGUACUUUUAUGGAAUUUUAUAUUAAAAAAUGUUAUAAUAACAUUUUAAAUAAAUGUUAUUCAAUUUUUCAGUAAAAAAUAUUAUUUAAAUUUUUAAAAGUGUUUAUUUUGUAUCUUUAUUACUUUUACACAAUUAUUACAUUACAUUUUACUAUACUUAAUUCACACAACAAUAAAUAAAAAGUUAUUAGGGUGGCGAGUUAACCAAGAAAUCAGGAAUAACUGGGAAAUUACUGGGAUUUUAAAAAUUUACUGGAAAUACAG